CCCCUAGAUGUUCUGGGCCGCACGCGCGCUACACUGAACAGUUCAACAAGUCUUAACCUUGGCCGAUAGGUCUGGGUAAUCUUUGAACGCUGGUCGUGAUGGGGAUAGACUUUUGCAAUUUUUGGUCUUCAACGAGGAAUUCCUAGUAAACGCAAGUCAUCAACUUGCAUUGAUUACGUCCCUGCCCUUUGUACACACCGCCCGUCGCACCUACCGAUUGAAUGGUCCGGUGAAGCCUCCGGAUUGGCGCGCACCUCGGUGCCGCCGAGAAGUUGGCUAGACCUUACCAUUUAGAGGAAGGUGAAGUCGUAACA
rnacentral:rRNA from 1 species